rnacentral:lncRNA from 1 species
GAAAGGGUGACCUUUGGACAGCGAGCCAGCAACCAGGGCUUCCGAAAUACGGGGAUUUCGACAGAAGCCGCUUUUAAGGUGGGCCCAGGAACGGCAAGAAUCGCUCUGAACCCACCCCGAGAUCUGCGACCUGCCUACGGAAAAGCCAUUCCGCAUCACUGUGAGACAAACCCUUGACUGAGGGCAGGUGAAGGUGGAAAACAGAGAAACGCCAUCCGCGAGCGAGUAAAGCCAACCGACACGCGGCUCCCUGCGGCAGCUGAACCCCAUCUUCCUUACUCCACCCCCUCUUCCCCAUUUGCACCCAGCCGGCUGCAACCGAGGUUUUUUUUUCACCCCAAUUCACGCGAAAAGGCAGCUUCCUACAAAUCCAGAUGGAGGCGCGGCCCAGCGACGGAGGCAGCGGGCGCGCUCCCUCGCCCCUCCCGGCACCGGGCCGGGUCCUCACCUGCUUCCCGGCGCCGCCGCUUCUCCUCGUCGGGCCGCGCGGACGGGUGGGAGCCCUCCAACAACCAGAAGCCGGACUCCGCGGCGAUUCGGCUCCUUCUUUAAACGUCGCUCCAGUCUUGGUCGACGUCGACGCGGCUGCCGCCACCGCUGCUACAGCUGCCCCACGCCACCGACAGAGGGCACAGCGCGGGGGCGCAGCGCCGAAGUCGAAGGCGCCCUCCUUCUCCGAGCGCAGUUCGGGUCUUUCCGGAAGGGCCCGAGCUCUAGGCGGCCCCGCUUCGGCGCCCGGCUCUCCCUUCGGCUCCUUCCGCAGGGGGCGGAGUGAGACUGGGAAGCUCUGGGAGCGUUCGGCCCUUUCCGGAGGGCGAAAGGGUGGGAAAAAGGGAAGGGAAAGAUGGGGUAAUGCAGUCAAUCACGAGCGGUUGGGAUCCUAAAUUAGGCGCAAGCUUCUAGGGCGUGAAAACUUUUCGAGACCGUACGAGUUUCAUUUCUUUUGCAAGUUUGAACCUGCUCGAUUAGCCCGUUUCUUAGACGAUAAACCACCUUGAAAUAUAAUCUGAAUAAAUAUAAUCAAGUCGAAUUGAUCGACUAAGGA